rnacentral:rRNA from 1 species
GACGAACGCUGGCGGCGUGCUUAACACAUGCAAGUCGAACGGUAAGGCCCUUCGGGGUACACGAGUGGCGAACGGGUGAGUAACACGUGGGUGAUCUGCCCUGCACUUCGGGAUAAGCCUGGGAAACUGGGUCUAAUACCGGAUAGGACCACUGCCUGCAUGGGUGGUGGUGGAAAGCUUUUGCGGUGUGGGAUGGGCCCGCGGCCUAUCAGCUUGUUGGUGAGGUGAUGGCCUACCAAGGCGACGACGGGUAGCCGGCCUGAGAGGGUGACCGGCCACACUGGGACUGAGUUACGGCCCAGACUCCGACGGGAGGCAGCAGGGGGGAAUAUUGCACAAGGGGCGCAAGCCUGAGGCAGCGACGCCGCGUGAGGGAUGACGGCCGUCGGGUUGUAAACCUCUUUCAGCACCGACGAAGCGCAAGUGACGGUAGGUGCAGAAGAAGGACCGGCCAACUACGUGCCAGCCGCCGCCGUAAGAC